UACGAAGGGGGCUAGCGUUGCUCGGAAUUACUGGGCGUAAAGCGCACGUAGGCGGCUUUCUAAGUCGGGGGUGAAAUCCUGGAGCUCAACUCCAGAACUGCCUUCGAUACUGGAGAGCUCGAGUCCGGGAGAGGUGAGUGGAACUGCGAGUGUAGAGGUGAAAUUCGUAGAUAUUCGCAAGAACACCCGUGGCGAAGGCGGCCCACUGGGCCGGUGCUGACGCUGAGGCGCGAAGGCGUGGGGAGCGAACGGG
rnacentral:rRNA from 1 species